GACGAACGCUGGCGGCGUGCUUAACACAUGCAAGUCGAACGGAAAGGCCCCCAUCUUGGUGGGGGUGCUCGAGUGGCGAACGGGUGAGUAACACGUGGGUGAUCUGCCCUGUACUUCGGGAUAAGCUUGGGAAACUGGGUCUAAUACCGGAUAGGACCAUGGUUUAGUGUCUCAUGGUGGAAAGAUUAUUGUUUUGGUGCAGGAUGAGCUCGCGGCCUAUCAGCUUGUUGGUGGGGUAAUGGCCUACCAAGGCGUCGACGGGUAGCCGGCCUGAGAGGGUGGACGCCCCCAUUGGGACUGGGAUACGGCCCAGGCUCCUACGGGAGGCCGCCGUGGGGAAUAUUGCACAAUGGGCGCAAGCCUGAUGCAGCGACGCCGCGUGGGGGAUGACGGCCUUCGGGUUGUAAACUCCUUUCGUUAGGGACGAAGCCGCACUUUUUUUGGGUGUGGUGACGGUACCUUUGUUAAGAAGCACCGGCUAACUACGUG
rnacentral:rRNA from 1 species